GAUCCGAUGGCCUAGUAGUUAGAGCAUCCGCCUCGGAUGUGGGAGGUCGUGGGUUCGAUAUCCGGUCGAGUCA